GACGAACGCUGGCGGCGUGCUUAACACAUGCAAGUCGAACGGAAAGGCCUCUUUCGGGGGGUACUCGAGUGGCGAACGGGUGAGUAACACGUGAGUAACCUGCCCUUGACUUUGGGAUAACUUCAGGAAACUGGGGCUAAUACCGGAUAGGAGCUCCUGCUGCAUGGUGGGGGUUGGAAAGUUUCGGUGGUUGGGGAUGGGCUCGCGGCUUAUCAGCUUGUUGGUGGGGUAGUGGUUUACCAAGGCUUUGACGGGUAGCCGGACUGGGAGGGUGACCGGCCACAGUGGGACUGGGAUACGGCCACGGCUCCUACGGGAGGGAGCAGUGGGGGAGGGUGCUCAAUGGGUGGAAGCCUGAUGCAGCAGCGCCGUGGGCGGGAUGACGACCUUCGGGUUGUAAACCGAUUUCGCUCAUGACGGAGCUUUGUGUGACGGUAGUGGGUAAAGAAGCACCGGCUAACUACGUG
rnacentral:rRNA from 1 species